GGCCAAGAGAGGAUUUAUUCCUCAUUUUUGGAUUUACAAUCCAUUACUUUUUAUCAGCCAUCUUGAC
rnacentral:tRNA from 1 species